CGCCCUCUUUGACAAGGCCGUUGGCGGAAUGAGGCUGACUUCUUAUGCUGGAAGUCUUCGGCCGCCAAUGCUGAUUAUUUAUCAAAAUUUAGGCAGUGGCAGGGAUUGAACCCGGGACCGAAGACGUUUUGAUUAUGAAUCAAAGACGCUACCCCUAGACCACGGGUCUACCCGAUGCUUAUGUAUACAUAGAACAGCGUUCCUGCCACACAUCCCUGGUGAUCUCCAUGUGAUACCAUUGUCUAGUUUGAAAGCUUGCCAUCUGGGACAACAUACUGGGUUCUGUCACUUAAAAAGUUCUUGAGGUACCUAUAUAUCUGAGAGACUAUUCCGUAUGCUUGGAUCUUCAUUAACGCUGUGAGAAACACUUUCUUGAGAUCUGGGAAUAUGGAUUACACAUUUUGUCCUUCACCCAUGGUUCGCAGUAUAUCAUAAAGAAAAGGACAAGCUGAGUUUCAUACGAGUGAUGCUUUUUAAAUAUGCACUGAUUUGUGGACAAAAGCUUUUCUUUCUCAAGGCAAUAUAUCAUAUUCAGGCUUACAAUAUGCUCCAGAAUUCCGCUGCAAACUCAUGUUGAGGAUAUCGGUUCAUAAUUUUGCAGGUUGGUACUUUCACUCUUCUUGAAUAUGGGAAGCACCUGUGCUUGUUUCCAGUCCCUUGGGUCUCUGCGCUGUGUGAGAGGCUGAUGAUAAAUGCAAGGUCAAAAACAUAUAUUUGGGAAAAUCGGUCUGAAGAGGAACAAACCAGAAAGGAGAGGAUGAAGGAAAGACAUCCAAAACCAGAAUGGAUAAGGAUCCCAAGCCAUGUGUCUGGUGGGACCAACAAUGUCAAGGGGUUAGAUUAUAUCUACAUCAAGAAAAACAACAUGGAAAACACCUCAUAAACUUCUUCUGUAUCUAAAGUUCAUCAAAAUAUACAAUGUGGUUCGUCAGUCUCA